CCUGCCAUCAUUCACUUUAAACUGGACUGUGUGAUUACAGGCCGUAGCAACAGUGUGCCUUUAGAACGCAUUUGCCAAAAGCCACAUGACUGGAUUUCUGCAAAUGUGUAAAUACUACGGGAGUCCUCUUGCAUUUGCGAACUUCAUAGCCCUAUUGAUGAAACAACCAUGAAAAGACGCUGUCAUGAAGCACUUCCCGGGUGCAACAAAGGGACAAGUGGGAACGGCUUGAAACAGUAAAAUGGCUGAAUUGAGAAUCGAUGAAAGAAAAUGAAUAGGAUUAAAUUCAGUUUUGUGUUUGUUCAAUUGUAUUACCAUGACUACAAGUAGCACUGAAAUUGUGCUCCCGUAACAUAUGUUAACAUGUAUUGUGACAAAGGACAUGUGAAUACUGUGUGUCACACAUGAGCAUAAGGUAACAUAUUAUGACAUGUAAUAAACACGUGAAUACUACAUGUA